AUUAACAGGAUUAGAUACCCUGGUAGUCCACGCUGUAAACGAUGUCGAUUUGGAGGUUGUGCCCUUGAGGCGUGGCUUCCGGAGCUAACGCGUUAAAUCGACCGCCUGGGGAGUACGGCCGCAAGGUUAAAACUCAAAUGAAUUGACGGGGGCCCGCACAAGCGGUGGAGCAUGUGGUUUAAUUCGAUGCAACGCGAAGAACCUUACCUACUCUUGUCAUCCAGAGAACUUUCCAGAGAUGGAUUGGUGCCUUCGGGAACUCUGAGACAGGUGCUGCAUGGCUGUCGUCAGCUCGUGUUGUGAAAUGUUGGGUUAAGUCCCGCAACGAGCGCAACCCUUAUCCUUUGUUGCCAGCGGUUCGGCCGGGAACUCAAAGGAGACUGCCAGUGAUAAACUGGAGGAAGGUGGGGAUGACGUCAAGUCAUCAUGGCCCUUACGAGUAGGGCUACACACGUGCUACAAUGGCGUAUACAAAGAGAAGCGACCUCGCGAGAGCAAGCGGACCUCAUAAAGUACGUCGUAGUCCGGAUUGGAGUCUGCAACUCGACUCCAUGAAGUCGGAAUCGCUAGUAAUCGUAGAUCAGAAUGCUACGGUGAAUACGUUCCCGGGCCUUGUACACACCGCCCGUCACACCAUGGGAGUGGGUUGCAAAAGAAGUAGGUAGCUUAACCUUCGGGAGGGCGCUUACCACUUUGUGAUUCAUGACUGGGGUGAAGUCGUAACAAGGUAGCCAAU
rnacentral:rRNA from 1 species